rnacentral:lncRNA from 1 species
UCCAAGUCAGAAUUUAGAUGUAGAGUAGCUCAGUCAGAACUGCUGCUCAGAGUACAAGGGGCCUUGCAAGUCAAUGGCAGGACUUUGGAUUAUACCUGGAAAGGUGAAAACAAGAGGAGUUGUCUUUUGAGCAGAGCACAGAGAUGAUCCAAUUUAAGAACUAACCAGGCAGCUAUAGAUUUUCUAUGGAGAUGAGAUGGUGGGCAUCAUGGCCCAUGCCCACUGCUGCUGGGCAAUGUGAGUGGAACACGAGAGCCAUGUGGCCAGGUCUCUAUCAGCUGAGAGCUUUUGAUGUGUUUGGGAGAUGAGACAAGGUAGGGUGGAGGAGUGCAUAGGAGCCAGGACUUUCAAUACAGAAGGGUCCAGAUUGAGUCUUCCUGCUGCCACCCCCUAGCCUAGAAAGUUACUUAAAGUCUCUGUUGCCUCAUCGUUAAGUGGUAAUAAGUGGUAUUAGCAAUGUCUGCCUGAUAGGUUUCUGUGGGGGCUGACUCAGCCCAGAGUGCCUGGCACAGAGUGGGCCUGAAAGAGAUAGCAGCUGGUGUUAUUAUUCAGUAAUAAUGUGAGGUAACACCGUGCUCCUCACUGGGGUGUGGGGGUGGCAGUGGCGGUGGUGUUGGGGACAGAAAUCUUUGAGCAGAAGGUAGAUGAGAAGAGGGAGAAGGCAUGGAGGAUGGGAGCUGGCCGGAAUAAGCACAGUGUGUUCUCACAAAGGAACAUGAGGGUCUGGCUGGGAGGAGAAAACGGCCCCCACUGGAGUCUGUGCAGCCUCUUUGGCUCUAGAUACAAUUUCAGCAAGAAGAUGCUGGACAGUUUCUAUGAUUAGAAGAGGCACUUAAGAAGAGGAAAGGGUUUCUCCAGAGAGGUUCCUGGUCAUCUGAGGGUUUGGAGGGUCCCAGUAGGAUUUAUAGGGAGGAAAUUGUGAUGGGUAGAAAGUCCUGGGCUCACUCUUUGAUUUUCCUACCCCAGGGUCAAUCACUGUUGAAAGGAGAGAUCUUAGCUGUAGACCUUUGGGAGAGAGAGAUUGAUUCUGGGGUCAGGAUUGUAGCUUAGUGGUCUACUACUUGCCUAGCAUGUGUAAGGCCCUCGGUUCAAUCUCCAGCACUGCAAAUUAAUUAAUUAAUUAAUUAAUUAGAUGGUUUCUUUUCUGUCCUCUGUGUGGAUUUCAUUCUCUCAGGCUUUCUGGCAGCUCUCAAGUUGUCGUCAACCCAGCUUCCCAACCAGAAAGAAAAUAGAGCUUCUCUCUCUUGGAUCCAGCAUGAAAGUUCCCAGAAAAAGAUUUUGCAUUGGCCCAGCCUGAGGGGUGCCCUAUGUCCUAGGGGUCCACUAGGCCCAUCAUAGUGGUCCUGGAAACAGGAUGACCCAUCAUGAGGUGAGUAGGCUUCCUCUACUACGAUGUGCUGCCUCAUCACAGGCCAGAAGCAAUGGGGCCAACUGACCAUGAAGUGAAACCUACAAAAUGUAACAGAAUAUGAAUAACACAAAGUGCAACAGGAAGGAAACAAAAAGAAGAAGGAGACCAUGGAUGAGUCCAGUCGACAGAGCUCUGCAGUAGUUUGAGCAAAUUAUUUAAUUCAUCUGAUUUCUUCCUGGAAAAACUGGGAGACUUUUAGAAACUUUUACACAACUCGCAGUAUUCUUUUUGUCUGUGAUAUGUACUAACUACAUAUAAUUAUUGGUUUUGAAACUACAGACCAAUCCAUGGAAAGAGCAGCUCUCAGGACUGCUUUGCUCGUCUGGACAAUGGAGAUGGCACCUGCUCAUUAAGCCAUUGGGAGAUUCAAUAAAAUAACUAAGUUAAAUCUCACAAUUCUUGGCUCCAGUAACACAUCCAACACAUUGCCUAGCAAUGAUGUGCAAAUGUAUCAGUGAUCGCUGGACGCAGUUCUCUCCCACGCAGCUUCAUGUGGGAUUUUCCUCCAUUUUAACCAGCAGAAUGCUCUUAAUUACCAGAACAGCUUCUUGUACUGGGGAAACAAAAAUACAAGAGCAACUGGUACACAGAGUGGUCACAUCUAGGCAGAGUAGGAGAGACGAAUAACGCCAGGGGAAAAUGCUCUUUUUUUACCUUGUGCAAAGCCCUUAUUUAUACCUUGCUCACUUUCAAAAAUGAUUAAUGAUGCUGUAGUAGGAUUUAAAGAGUGAAAAUCUUGCUUCAGAUUCCUACCUCACCUUGUAGGUAAAUAAUUU